rnacentral:rRNA from 1 species
CCUACGGGAGGCAGCAGUGAGGAAUAUUGGUCAAUGGGCGGGAGCCUGAACCAGCCAAGUCGCGUGAGGGAAGACGGUCCUACGGAUUGUAAACCUCGUUUGCCGGGGAGCAACGGGGUCCUUGCGAGGGCCCAAUGAGAGGACCCGGAGAAAAAGCAGCGGCUAACUCCGUGCCAGCAGCCGCGGUAAUACGGAGGAUGCGAGCGUUAUCCGGAUUUAUUGGGUUUAAAGGGUGCGUAGGCGGGCUGUUAAGUCAGCGGUCCAAUGUCGGGGCUCAACCCCGGCCUGCCGUUGAAACUGGCGGCCUCGAGUGGGCGAGAAGUAUGCGGAAUGCGUGGUGUAGCGGUGAAAUGCAUAGAUAUCACGCAGAACUCCGAUUGCGAAGGCAGCAUACCGGCGCCCUACUGACGCUGAGGCACGAACGCGUGGGUAUCGAACAGGAUUAGAUACCCCUGUAGUC